rnacentral:rRNA from 1 species
UACAGAGGGGGCAAGCGUUGUUCGGAAUUACUGGGCGUAAAGGGCGCGUAGGCGGCCUGUUAAGUCGGACGUGAAAUCCCUCGGCUCAACCGGGGAACUGCGUCCGAUACUGGAUGGCUUGAGUUCGGGAGAGGGAUGCGGAAUUCCAGGUGUAGCGGUGAAAUGCGUAGAUAUCUGGAGGAACACCGGUGGCGAAGGCGGCAUCCUGGACCGACACUGACGCUGAGGAGCGAAAGCCAGGGGAGCAAACGGG